rnacentral:rRNA from 1 species
UACGUAGGUGACCAGCGUUGUCCGGAUUUACUGGGCGUAAAGGGCUCGUAGGCGGCCAACUAAGUCAGACGUGAAAUCCCUCGGCUUAACCGGGGAACUGCGUCUGAUACUGGAUGGCUUGAGUUCGGGAGAGGGAUGCGGAAUUCCAGGUGUAGCGGUGAAAUGCGUAGAUAUCUGGAGGAACACUGGUGGCGAAGGCGGCAUCCUGGACCGACACUGACGCUGAGGAGCGAAAGCCAGGGGAGCAAACGGG